AAAUGAAUACUAUUUGUACCGUAGACAGUAGGUGCUCAUUACGAGCUUAAUUCCCUGCCGAGGUAAUUCGAUAAUAAUAGUCCUGGACUAUGACUUUUGAAAUUACUGCCUUCAUGUCUGCAAUAGAGAUGAAGGCUUUUUCUUUGAAACG
rfam:Bacillus sp. FJAT-22058 super1, whole genome shotgun sequence.